rnacentral:rRNA from 1 species
GACGAACCGUGCGAACGUUGUUCGGAAUCACUGGGCGUAAAGCGUGCGCAGGCGGUGAUGUAAGACAGAUGUGAAAUCCCCGGGCUCAACCUGGGAACUGCAUUUGUGACUGCAUCGCUGGAGUACGGCAGAGGGGGAUGGAAUUCCGCGUGUAGCAGUGAAAUGCGUAGAUAUGCGGAGGAACACCGAUGGCGAAGGCAAUCCCCUGGGCCCGUACUGACGCUCAUGCACGAAAGCGUGGGGAGCAAACAGG